GCGGUCGACGGCGGGCAGGUGCCGUGGCGGUUCGCGGCCGCCCUGGCCGUCGCGCAGUUCGCCGCCGUACGUCCCCUC
rnacentral:tRNA from 1 species